UACGGAGGUUGCGAGCGUUGUUCGGAAUUACUGGGCGUAAAGGGAGCGCAGGCGGUCGGGUCAGUCUGAAGUGGAAUCCCGGGGCUUAACCUCGGAAGUGCUUUGGAUACUGCCCGACUUGAGUACAGAAGAGGAGAGCGGAAUUCCAGGUGUAGCGGUGAAAUGCGUAGAUAUCUGGAGGAACACCGGUGGCGAAAGCGGCUCUCUGGUCUGUUACUGACGCUCAGGCUCGAAAGCGUGGGGAGCGAACGGGAUUAGAUACCCCGGUAGUCCACGCCGUAAACGUUGUGCACUAGGUGUGGGAGGUAUCGACCCCUUCCGUGCCGCAGCUAACGCAUUAAGUGCACCGCCUGGGGAGUACGGUCGCAAGACUGAA
rnacentral:rRNA from 1 species